CUUCUAUUAUUCACCUCUUUAUUAUGUGUUUUUCGUGUGUUUUUCGAGAAGAUAGUGUUUGGAAGAAGCAUACCACGUUAAGAUGGAUUCUCCCUUCUGCGAAGUUUUGUCCUUUAUGUCCAACCUUGUGAAGUCCAAGGAUGUUGUCCCUAAAAUUUAUACUGUACCGAACCUGAACGAAUGUAGUUCCGAGUUUCUUAAGAAUACAGGCCGUGUCGGUGAGGUGUGCAUAUUCUAAACUGGGAGAGCAGAGGUACAACCUUCUAAGAAAAGGUUAUCAUCAUCCCGGGAACACACGGCUAGUGAUAUAUGUUCCCCGGGCCCUGAUGUAUGUAAGGUUCCUUCUCCGGGCCCAUGUGCAAACGAAAAUGAAACUUUGAUGACCAGUUCGACUGUGGUCAGUCCUCGGUCACCUAGUAUAGUGGUUAAUGAACCAAGGGCUUUGUUAGGUUGUGCGGGUCCUUUGUCUACUCCGUUGCCUUCCCCGAAUUAUUUCCUUGAUAAACCGCAGGAGACUGCUGCGGAAUCGGGGAACGAUAAGGCAAAGGAAACAGACGGAAAAGAGCAAACAUUUAACCAAAGAGACAACGAUUGUGAUCUUUUACCCGUUAAGUGUAAUAGACGGAGGAAACUGCAACUUAACAAACCAAAGAAUAUGCUUAGCCAGAAUAUGCUCCCAAACGAACAGUUAACACAAUCGAUUGAUGUCGGUUUCUGGUUGUCACCUGAAUAAAAUAAUUGACAUC